rnacentral:sRNA from 1 species
AGCAGCCGCGGUAAUUCCAGCUCCAAUAGCGUAUAUUAAAGUUGUUGCAGUUAAAAAGCUCGUAGUUGAAUUUCGGGACCAAUAUGUUGGUCGUGCCUCGGUACGCACUGGCAUUAUUGGUUUCUCCCUUCUGAAGAACCGCGAUGUCAUUAAUUUGGUGUCGUGGGGAAUCAGGACCGUUACUUUGAAAAAUUAGAGUGUUUAAAGCAGGCUCGCGCUUGAAUACAUUAGCAUGGAAUAAUGAAAUAGGACGUUUGAUUCUAUUUUGUUGGUUUCUAGGAUCGACGUAAUGAUUAAUAGGGAUAGUUGGGGGCAUUAGUAUUCAAUUGUCAGAGGUGAAAUUCUUGGAUUUAUUGAAGACUAACUACUGCGAAAGCAUUUGCCAAGGAUGUUUUCAUUAAUCAAGAACGAAAGUUAGGGGAUCGAAGACGACCA